rnacentral:rRNA from 1 species
AAUCUUGCACAAUGGGGGAAACCCUGAUGCAGCGACGCCGCGUGAGUGAUGAAGCCCUUCGGGGUGUAAAGCUCUUUCGACGGGAACGAUUAUGACGGUACCCGGAGAAGAAGCUGCGGCUAACUCCGUGCCAGCAGCCGCGGUAAUACGGGAGGGGUAAGCGUUGUUCGGAAUUACUGGGCGUAAAGGGCUCGUAGGCGGCCAACUAAGUCAUACGUGAAAUCCCUCAGCUUAACUGGGGAACUGCGUGUGAUACUGGAUGGCUUGGAUUUGGGAGAGGGAUGCGGAAUUCCAGGUGUAGCGGUGAAAUGCGUAGAUAUCUGGAGGAACACCGGUGGCGAAGGCGGCAUCCUGGACCAAUAUUGACGCUGAGGAGCGAAAGCCAGGGGAGCAAAC